rnacentral:rRNA from 1 species
CCCUUAGAUGUCCUGGGCCGCACGCGUGCUACACUGACGCAUACAGCGAGUACUUCCCCGGCUCCGUGAGGCAGCCGGUAAUCAGCAAUGUGCGUCGUGAUGGGGAUAGAUCUUUGGAAUUCUGGAUCUUGAACGAGGAAUGCCUAGUAAGCGCGAGUCAUCAGCUCGCGCUGAUUACGUCCCUGCCCUUUGUACACACCGCCCGUCGCUACUACCGAUUGGAUGGUUUAGCGAGAACUUUGGACCGGAGCUCGGGUGGUCAGCAAUGGCCGCCCGAGACAUACUGGGAAAUCGCUCCAGCUUGAUCAUCUAGAGGAAGUAAAAGUCGUAACA